UAGUGAUAUCAUCCAAUCUUAUAAAUCAUUCCUAGAGUUAGGUGUCUCCAGUGACUAAUGGCGAUGACACUGUCCUGGGCAAUGAUUCCUGAAAGUCUGCUCUAGUAUUCGGCUUCGUUGGUUCAGUUCAUAGUCAAUUUCGAUCGACCCAUGAAGACCACCCGCGUUCUCUCCUUUCUGUUCUCUGUAGCCCUUCCAAAAUUGUCAAGAGUCGUCUGCUUAACUGCCAGAAAUCCAGAUGAAUCUGCAGUGCUUCAACUUCGUCAACAGUUGACAGGGGAAGUUUUAAUUUAAUUGAUAAGAAGGUGCUCUUCUGGUUUCUUCAUGAGCUAAAGUCCUGAAAAUGCUACACAUUUAAUGGGAAUCAGGAGCAACUGAAGCUUUACAUGUUCUCAAGUAAGAGUUGGUGUGGAGUUUACAAAUGUAGAGGUGAGAUAUAAGAAUUUGAGAUUGGAAGCUGAUUGUGAGAUUGUCCACAGAAAGCCCCUCCCAACUCUAUGGCUCAUUCUCUGUUAAGCCUGGAAGGAUGAUUCUUCUGCUUGGCCCCCAAGUUGCAGGAAGACCACACUUUUAAAGGCUCUCUCUGGAACUCCUAACAAAUCUCUAAAGAGAUAGCAGGGGAAAAGUUUUCUUCAGUGGUUACCGGUUUGAUGAGUUUAUUGCUAGAAAAUGUCAGCUUAUAUAUGCCAAGAAAAUCUGCAUUUUGCAGAAAUGACUGAGGGAACACUUGAUUUUUCUGCCUAAUAUCUUGGUGUUGGAAACUGAGGAAUUAGUCUUCUUAUAAUUUAAUUCAAUGAAGUUACAGUCAUAGCCGCCUCAUCAAUUCCCACGAGUAGUUGAUAGGUACAGAGCAAUUUUUUUUUCUGCCUGUGCAGAUAUGAUGAUGGAAGUCAGUAAAAGAGAGGAAUCAACAAUUGUUCCGGAU